AGCCCUACUGAGCUCUUACAGAAUUAUUGCUGAAUUAUGAACAAAUAUAGUAAUUGUUGUUUUAGGCCACCGAGGUCCAGGUGUUUUGUCAUGAAGAAAUAAAUAACAGAAGCAA